CGGAGGGUGCAAGCGUUAUCCGGAUUCACUGGGUUUAAAGGGAGCGUAGGUGGGUUGGUAAGUCAGUGGUGAAAUCUCCGGGCUUAACUCGGAAACUGCCAUUGAUACUAUCAGUCUUGAAUAUUGUGGAGGUUAGCGGAAUAUGUCAUGUAGCGGUGAAAUGCUUAGAUAUGACAUAGAACACCAAUUGCGAAGGCAGCUGGCUACACAUAUAUUGACACUGAGGCUCGAAAGCGUGGGGAUCAAACAGGAUUAGAUACCCUGGUAGUCCACGCCCUAAACUAUGGAUACUCGACAUACGCGAUAAACUGUGUGUGUCUGAGCGAAAGCAUUAAGUAUCCCACCUGGGAAGUACGAUCGCAAGAUUG
rnacentral:rRNA from 1 species